CUCGUGUUUAUCUUCAAACUCGGAGCGAUAGCCACAUGUAAAAGAAAGGCAGCAGUGUAAACUCAAGUAUGUGCGUCAUUUAUGGUGAAACUCAACUGGAGAAACCAGGGUGACUCACACAUUCUGGCCCUGUGAGUGAUACAGCCACAGCUGAUAUAUUAGAACCGGCCACCAUGGGCUCAGAUAUCUUAUGGAACCAAAAAUUGGCAGCUUUGUCAGAAUUUCUGGGUUAAAGAUGCACAAAAAGAAGUCAGAAUAUCAAGAGGGAGCAAAGGGGGAGAGAAAACAAGAUGCCGAGGCUUCACCCACCUGCUGCAUGCAACUUCCUUCAAACUGCACCAAAAACAAGCACACGCCCCUCCACGCAUCGGGCUUCAAACAAUGCUGCCCAUUCUAAGAUAGCCCAUUGUCAAUCUGAAGUCCAGCUCCCGAGCUUUGCGUAAGACGUGCAAAACUCCAUUCCAGAGCUCCAAUUACCAUGAGAAUGGAUGGGAACCUGCCAUCGUUACACACAGACAUGCACACACCAGGGAGGACGACCACUGUGGGAGGCAGUAAAACCUGGAGCUGGACUGUAGCUGUUUGCUGCUCAGGUUUCCUGGAUUAAACAAAUUAUGCUGUAAAUCCACACUGCACACGGUGUGCAUCAGUAUAAUCCUCAAAAUGAAUCAUGUUUAGUGCAGCGUGGCUGCAAGUAUGCUUUAUUUUGUCACUAUUGAAAUAGGAACUCCUGUUUGGAAUCAUUAUGUUGUGCAGAUUUGGGACAGUUUAUGUGCUGCUGUGAACACACAAUUGUUUUCACUGUUCUGUCUUGGCUAAAAGCAUCUCUCACUGUGUUGUGCUUAACCUUAUAUCCUGAAUGCAAACGCUGAUUUCUCCAUUGAACAUACUGAUGUAAUUAAAAAAAAAAAAGAAAUGUUAAAAGACAUUAUGUGGGAACUUUUAUAUUUCAAAUAUGCUGCUUUGGUAAAGAAAAAUAUAAUUA